AGAAAAUAGCAAAAGUUGGAAAAACUCAAACUUAAGGAACUUACACAACUUGAAAUUGUUGUUGAGACUGAUAGGGCACGUCGUGAAGAGAAGAUUAUCUCCAAUAUGAAGGAGGUUGGCGCCAAGGUCUCCAUGGUCUGAGACAUGAAAAUGAAACAGUAGUAGAGAGUUCCAAGCUUCGAUUAAAUGGCUGAUGAGAUCCAACAGUAGCCCAUCUUGGUAUCAUGUGGGUCUACCUGCAAGUCCUGGAGAUCAAUGUAGUUUUCCUUCAUAGUG